GAUCAUGGUGCCCCUAGCCCUGGAAGAAUCUUUAAAAAUGAAUAUCAAAGGAAUCAUCAUUGUCUUCUACGUUGGAUAAGAUGAGAAUUUUAAGAAUGACUUGAUGAUGAAUUCCUUUUUGACUGUUUUACUAAUGUUGCUUACAUGAUUUCAUACCUUAGAUUCCUAGAAAGAUCUGUUAUUUAUUUGGUUGAUCAUUUUGGACAAAAUUGCUGCCUGUCAUGACUCUCAUUAGAGAGAUUGGCAAAACUACUUGAUCAUCGAUGCAUGAUAACUUCCACAUGCAGUGUGGAUACCUGCUUCACAUGCUUGUUGAUUGGGGGGUUGGAUUUGUGUUCGGUUAAUAGGAGACUUGAGGAAGAAAUGUGCCUAUUGUCUGUUCAUUGUAUGAAAGUACCUUUUCCUCGUGAAUAUAAUGAUAGGAUGAUAACAUUGGAGGUCUUUUCCAUAGAAUGAUUCUGGAUGUCUUACAGUUGUUAUGAGGCGGUUCAUGAUUUGAAAUAAAGAAUCAAUAAUGAUGCUUUUUGGCUUUUUCUUUUCCCUGUUUUUCUCUGUUCUGCUUUUUACACUUUGUAUGCCCUCAAGCUGGAUUUGUACAUGUAUUUGCAUAAAGACUGCAUACAUCAGCCAUAUAUACUCUAGUUAUUAGAUAAUACAUAAUACAGUCUACGAAGAAUGACAUGUAACUGCAAAAUCUGCCUUAAGUGCCAACUUCUAGAAAUUUGUACUUGCUCGCGCUACUAUUCUUUCUGUACUUGUUGACCUUCAGAAAUUUGUACUUGUUAGUACUGGCCGUCAAGUGCUUCG
rnacentral:lncRNA from 1 species